rnacentral:rRNA from 1 species
UGGGGAAUCUUGCGCAAUGGACGAAAGUCUGACGCAGCCACGCCGCGUGAGUGAAGAAGGCCUUCGGGUUGUAAAGCUCUGUCGAGCGGGACGAAAACCCAUAGGGUUAAUAGCCUUAUGGAUUGACGGUACCGCUAAAGGAAGCACCGGCUAACUCCGUGCCAGCAGCCGCGGUAAUACGGAGGGUGCAAGCGUUGCUCGGAAUUAUUGGGCGUAAAGGGUAGGUAGGUGGUCUCAUUUGUCAGGGGUGAAAUCCUUGGGCUUAACCCAAGAAGUGCCUUUGAAACGGUGAGACUGGAGUCCUGGAGAGGGUCGUGGAAUUCCCGGUGUAGCGGUGAAAUGCGUAGAGAUCGGGAGGAACACCAGAGGCGAAGGCGGCGACCUGGACAGGAACUGACACUCAACUACGAAAGCGUGGGGAGCAAACAGG